UAUGCAUUUCCCGUCCCUAGAUUUGCCACUACUUGCCAGCUAUUUCCACUGAAAAGGGUGGCAUUAAGUGUAAAAAAGGUGGCAUUAACUGGAAAAUGACAAAAUUCCACUCUUUUUCCACUGUAGUGGCAAAAUUGCCACCAAAUGCCACUAUCCUUUGGUAGCAUUUAGGUGGCAUUGAGUGGAAAUUUGAACAUAGACUUUUUUUAUGGUGGCAAAAGGGUGGAAAUUGGUGAAAAAUGAAACUUAGUUUAUUUUGAAGGUGGAAAAUGAGUGGCUUUUAGUGGAAAAGUGAAACUCUAACUAUUUUCUGGGUGGCAAAAUAGUGGAAAAAAACUUAGAAAAUUUUGUGAAUAACUUUUAGUCGAAAAGGGAAACUCUUAACUAUUUUCUGGGUUGUAUAAAAAUUGGUGGAAAAAACUGAGAAAUCUAAUAAUUGUGCAUUAUAUAUAUAAUGCAGGGUUUAAGAUUUAUUUAAGUCAAAGCUCCAAACUGAAAUAAAUCUGUUUAUAGUUUGUACUCUACCAAAGCAUCAAGUGAACUUUUUAUCAAAAAUAUAAUUUAUUGAAGUUGAACAGUUAGAAAAUUUUAUCAGAAACUCAUAUUUCUUAAACAUACUAGAAUGCCAUGAACACAAUUCUGAUACAAAGUCACUGCCUCACAGUAACGGUAUGAUAAUUCCAGCUGUAAAGUAGCAGGAAAAGACACAGAAAUUGGACGUAAAAUCACUUUUCCAGGCGUUAAACACAUAUAAUUAUGAUCAGGAAAAAUUAGAAAAGUAUGGGGUUACUUAACUUCCCAUUUUUUAUGGCAGUACUUUUCUUUAGGGAUGUAAAAUUUGACUUUCAAGUAAAAUGUUUAUGUUCCAUUCUAUGCUUGUAAAAUAAAAUUACGGCUUUUAACGUGUACUUUGUUCUUUAGUUAUAAUCUGUACAUUAAUUAAAUAGUUGAAAUGUUCUUCUAUGCCCAGAAAAUGCAUAUCUCUGCAUAAAGUUUGUUGCUUCUUCUAUGAUAUUUAAUGUCAAUCUUGAAUAAAGUUUGACUUUUGUCUUUUCUUCUAAUUGACAUAAUAAAUUGUCUCUUCAUUAUUACUUUAAACUGAUAUCUGGUGAGUACUAACACUUUUCAUGUAAUGCUAACAAUAAUUAAAGUGAAAAAUGCAAAGGGCAAUAACUCCAAAAGUAUGCAAAGAGUUAUGGUUCUUAAACACAGCACAUUACUCAAAAAGAUCUAUAUCUGUGAAGUUUCAAAUUAAUAUCUCCAGUACUUUUUAAGCUUAAUGAUCAAGACAAAAAUUAAGCAUAGAGAAGUAAAAAAUGGCAAUAAACCCCAAAUCAUGCAAUAAAAAGUUAUGGUUCCUUGGCAUUGUAACUUCUCAUAAAUGAGAUUUAGUUAUAUGUGGAGUUUAAAAUUAUUGUCUCUAACAUCUUUUGUGCUAUGCUUUCAGAGGCUUUAAAUCUAUUGUAAAAAUUAAUGUGUGAAAAGUAAAUAAGUCAUAAUGUCUGAUAAAUUUCUUACAAUCAGGAUAAGUAAAUACUAGCUAGUAAAUACUGCAUCCUCUAAGAUUUAACAACACAGCAUACAUCUAAGAUCUGAUAAAACUACGGCCCUCUUAUCUAGUAAUCUAUGAAUGGGGGUUAAUAGUUUACUCAUGCUGACCAGAAUGUUCCAUUUGAUUAUUUUGGGAGAGGCAACAUUAUACAUGUUUUUAUGUAGAAUUUGUCUUAAAAUAGCAUGCUAAAUUAUCUUUCAAAAGCUUAUUUCUACUCAAUCUAUUUAGGUAUUAGAUAUAGUUAUACAUUCAAAUGAAUGUAAAAAAUAAAAUGAUGGGUGCUAUGGUUUUUGGAAAAUCCCUCACAAUUUAAAAUUAUAAUGGACUGUCCAUGCAGUUACACCGUUGUAAAGUUUGAAUUCAAAGGAAUUGAGGUCAGUUAAAGCUUGCAAACACAAAGGAAAUUAUUGAUAUUGUAGCAAUUCUGGAGAUAUUUUGUUUAAAAUGUAAGGGUGCAUAUUUUUGAUUUCUCAAAGAAAACAUUUAAAGUCUUAUUAGUGUGGUAAAUAGAAAUGAGAAGUUUUAACUGAAGUGUGAAUGUGUAGACAAGAAGAUAAACAGCAGAAUCAUUCCCAGUCAAAGUUUCAGGUAAACAACUUUUACAUACAAUAAUUAUUGUUAUUUAUGCAGAAACUGUUUAGUUUUUUGACAGUAAAAAUAUGAAGUGGUAUUGUAUAAAAUUGUGUUUUAUAUUUGUUUUGUUUGUAACUUGACUAAAAAGAAAGCUGCAUGUACAAUGUACAUAUAAAGAAUGUAGGAAUAUAAAGAAUGUAGGAAGAUCUUCAUCAUUUCUUAAAUACAAUAUGUUAGAAAUUUUAAGUUUGAGAAAAAAAUUAUAGAAAUUAAUCAACACAAAGCAAUGAGGAGCAGCCUGGAGCAACACAUUUGAUCUUCAGUGGCUUUACAAAGGACCAAGUGAUGGCAGAACUGAAGCCAUAUGCCUCAAAAGAGAAAGGUACAGCAAAGCUCUUCAGAAUGCUAUUCAAUAUAGAAGAGAUUAAAGGCCGCUCAUUGUUUGGUAUGAGGAAAGGGAACAGAGAGUCUGACGCCAGACCUUCUUGUGCAGACAAGGCAAAACUUAAGUUCUUGGAAGAUUGUGCGCUCGAAAAGUUGCCGACAACCUAAAAGACUGAACUCAAACCAUCCAGGAAUAGCAAGAUAAACUGAAGAAAAUAAAUGGACUAAUGUUUUGCUAUUUUUUGAGACAAUAUAUAAUUUCAUAUGGAAACAUUAAAAAGGAUUAUUUUUAAAAUUUGUUUGUUUCCAAUUUAGGGUACAGGUGACUUUCAAGCAGUUUCCAGCUAUUGCCACCCACAAGGUGGAAAAUUUCUGAAAGGGUGAAAAUAGGUGGCAUUUAGUGGAAACUGAAUUUGCCACUAUCUGGUGGCAAAAUGGUGGAAAAGUGUCUAAAUACUCCACCAAUUUUCCACCCUUAUGGUGGCAAAAGGUGGAAAUAAGUGGCAUUUGGUGGAAAAUAAGUUUGCCACUCAAUGGUGGCAUAAUGGUGGAAAUUUGUCUAAAUACUCCACCAAUUUUCCACCAUUAUGGUGGCAAUAAGUGGAAACAAGUGGCAUCUAGUGGAAAAUGAGUUUGCCACCCUAAGGUGGCAUAAUGGUGGCAUUAUGGUGAAAGUUUGUCUAAAUACUCCACCAAUUUUCCACUCAUUGGUGGCAUUUAGUGUAAAAAAGGUGGAAUUAACUGGAAAAUUAUAUAACAUCAGUCCUGCUCAAAUUUUUCACCAUUUUCAUGAUUUGGGUGGCAUUUUGGUGGCGUUUUGGUGGCAUUAUUGGUGGAAAAUUGUCUAAAUACUCCACCAUUGAAAAGGGUGGCAUUUUAGUGGCAAAUC